rnacentral:lncRNA from 1 species
CUAGUGUCCUCUCUACAGCGUUCUGUCUCCUGUAGUGUCCUCUCUACAGCGUUCUGUCUCCUGUAGUGUCCUCUCUACAGCGUUCUGUCUCCUGUAGUGUCCUCUAUACAGCGUUCUGUCUCCUGUAGUGUCUGUAUAUCUCUCUGGACAGACUGAGCUGUAUAUCUCUCUCUGGACAGACUGAGCUGUAUAUCUCUCUGGACAGACUGAGCUGUAUAUCUCUCUCUCUCAGACAGACUGAGCUCUGUAUAUCUCUCUGGACAGACUGAGCUGUAUAUCUCUCUAGACAGACUGAGCUGUAUAUCUCUCUCUGGACAGACUGAGCUGUAUAUCUCUCUCUGGACAGACUGAGCUGUAUAUCUCUCUCUGGACAGACUGAGCUGUAUAUCUCUCUGGACAGACUGAGCUGUAUAUCUCUCUCUGGACAGACUGAGCUGUAUAUCUCUCUCUGGACAGACUGAGCUGUAUAUCUCUCUGGACAGACUGAGCUGUAUAUCUCUCUCUGGACAGACUGAGCUGUAUAUCUCUCUCUAGACAGACUGAGCUGUAUAUCUCUCUCUAGACAGACUGAGCUCUUUAUAUCUCUCUAGACAGACUGAGCUGUAUAUCUCUCUAGACAGACUGAGCUGUAUAUCUCUCUGGACAGACUGAGCUGUAUAUCUCUCUCUCUCAGACAGAUUCCUUUUCAAUCCUUCAAAUACAUCAAAUAACAUUCUGAUUCAUUUGGCCUUUUUGUGUGAGUCCCAUUUCGCUGUAAAUCUGUGGGUAAAUCUUACAACAGGUUUACAUUGUAACGUGUGAUGCUGCAUUGUGUAUUCACAUCUGAUGCUUUAUUCAUUAGGUAUUCAUCAGUAGAAAGCAAUGAGUAUUUAAAUCACAGUACAGACAGUAGUUUCACACACUAACAGAGACUAACAGAGUGUCUGGCAGGUUAGAGCCUGGGGUUAGGGGUCAGGGGUUAGAGGAUAGGGGGUUAGAGGUUAGAGAAUAGGGGUUAGGGGUUAGAGGUUAGGGAAUAGGGGUUAGCGGUUAGGGGUUAGGGGUUAGGGGUCAGAGGAUAGGGGUUAGAGGUUAGGGAAUAGGGGUUAGGGGUUAGGGAAUAGGGGUUAGGGGUUAGAGGUUAGGGAAUAGGGGUUAGAGGUUAGGGGUUAGGGGUCAGAGGAUAGCGGUUAGAGUCAGGCAGUAACAGGUGAUAGCAGCAGCAGCUAGAGAGUAGUCAAGGCCCGUGAUGCUGCAAAGCGUUUCAAUGAGACUCCGUCAUCGCCAACCAAUCAGGUCCUCAGCCUGCUGCGUCUGUCUGCGUGGGGGGAGGGGCCAAAGACUGUCCAGUUAAAGGCCGUCUGUCAGACCAAUCACCUCAAGGCUUCAGCCUCCAUGAAAAAUCACAGGGAUCACAGCAAAACAGCAAUAAGAGCAUCACACGUGUUAUAACAGACGUUACAAGGUGUUAUAACAGAUGUUACAAUGUGUUAUAACAGACGUUACCAUGUUUUAUAACAGUGUUAUGGAUGUAUGAGAUGUUAAAACACAUUGUAACAGUGUUAUAGAUGUAUGAGAUGUUACAAUGUGUUAUAACAGAUGUUACAAUGUGUUAUAACAGAGU